UCCGUAGGCGGUGUGGCAAGUCGGUAGUGAAAUCUCUCGGCUUAACUGAGAGGCUGCUGCCGAAACUGCCAUGCUCGAGUGCGAGAGAGGCGAGUGGAAUUGCGGGUGUAGCGGUGAAAUGCGUAGAUAUCCGCAGGAACAUCCGAGGCGAAGGCGGCUCGCUGGAUCGCAACUGACGCUGAGGGACGAAAGCUAGGGGAGCAAACAGGAUUAGAUACCCUGGUAGUCCUAGCCCUAAACCAUCAGGACUUGGGGUUUGCCCUGUACGGGGCAAGUCCCGGAGCUAACGCGUUAAGUCCUGCGCCUGGGGAGUACGGUCGCAAGGCUGAA
rnacentral:rRNA from 1 species